GCAACUGCUACUUCAAAGAGCAACGGUGUACAGAUGCGCAACUCAAAUAUAUAAAUGAAACGAAAUACCAUUGGUACACAAAAAAUGAUCAAAAUUGCGCCUUAUCGCCGUCUCCUGUGUGUGAAUUCGAGCGAACUGACGGUCAAUACUGCCACUUCAGACCUCGUCCAUACGUCGCCAGGGUCUUAGCUAAAGUUU